rnacentral:rRNA from 1 species
AACGAACGCUGGCGGCAGGCCUAACACAUGCAAGUCGAACGCACCGCAAGGUGAGUGGCGCACGGGUGAGUAACACGUGGGAAUGUACCCUUUGGUUCGGAAUAACGUUUGGAAACGAACGCUAAUACCGGAUGAGCCCUGCGGGGGAAAGAUUUAUCGCCAAAGGAGCAGCCCGCGUCUGAUUAGCUAGUUGGUGGGGUAAAGGCCUACCAAGGCGACGAUCAGUAGCUGGUCUGAGAGGAUGAUCAGCCACACUGGGACUGAGACACGGCCCAGACUCCUACGGGAGGCAGCAGUGGGGAAUAUUGGACAAUGGGCGAAAGCCUGAUCCAGCCAUGCCGCGUGAGUGAUGAAGGCCUUCGGGUUGUAAAGCUCUUUCGCACGCGACGAUGAUGACGGUAGCGUGAGAAGAAGCCCCUGCUAACUUCGUGCCAGCAGCCGCCGUAAUAC